rnacentral:tRNA from 1 species
GAGGCAUUAGCUCAGUUGGUAGAGCAUCUGACUUUUAAUCAGAGGGUCGCAGGUUCGAACCCUGCAUGCCUCA